GUUUAUAGAAAAAAUUCAAAGCCAGCCUAGACCACUUCAGGAGACCUUGGCUCAGACAGCACUAGAUGUGGUACUAAUCUGUGAUGCCAGCACUGGGGAGGCUAAAACAAAGGAUGCCAUCAGUUCAAGGCCUGACUGCGCUAUAAUAUUCAGUUUCGGGCCAGUACAAAGAGAGAACCUGUCUCAAAAACCAAAACAACAGCAAAAAAAGAGGCCAGGAUACAGCUCAGUGACAGAGCACUUGCCUAACAUAUAUGACCCCUAAACUCCUCGGUUCAAUUCCUGGUACUAAAAAAAAAAAAAAAAAAAAAAAAAAAAAAAAUUAGUCACUUUUCUCUCUCUUUUAAUUUCCACCAUCUGUUUAAAUCAGUUUGUAAAAUAUCCAUAGUGAAAAAUUUUAAGAGUUUAUUGAUGACUCCAAAUAGAUUGAGAAUGAUAUACAUAAGUCAAGUAAAAGUGUGACUUCAAUUUUUUUUUUUCCUAUACAGAGAAACCCUGUCACAAAACAAAACAAAACAAAACAAAACAAAACAAACAAACAAACAAAAACCAAGCACUAACUUACUGAGCUAGCUCUCUAACACACAUUACAUUUUGAUGGAAUUCUCAAACAACUGUCAACUAGUUGAAGUAUGCUCAAUAAUGUUAAUUCCCAAAUAGAACUGGUGAUCAAAUCCAGUUCCCCAAAUCCUGUUUACCUGAGAGAGGUUGAGUCUUUGUCCAGCUGGUCAUGGGUGCUGUACAGUCUACCUCCAGGAUGCUACUGCUGUGAGACUUUGGAAUAUGACGCCAAGAAGGGACAAACCCAACAGGCCUCUUUGUGCUUUGAUCCCUUCAAAAGAGAAUCCAAAGUAUAAAAAGUUUUAAACAGUGGCUUCUAACAACAUUUCUAAGACUAAAAUUCAAAACAGAAAACAAACAUUAUAAAAGCUUGGGAACCAAGGGUCAUGGAUCAAAACAUAAUGCAUAUACUCCUGAGGCUGAGGCAGGGAACUCAGCCUAGGGUUACCAGGCUUAAGCAAUAAGAAUUCCUCUCAGAAUGGGGAGGGAGGGAGGGAGGGAGGCAGCUUCUGUAAUAUACAUUGUACUGAUCAGUAAAUUCUCUAUUUAUGCUUGUUAAAGACUCUGGGGAGGAAUAUGGUGGAGAAUGUCUUUAAUCCCAGAAUGCAGGUAGAUCUUUGUGAGUUCAAGGCCAGCCUGGUCUAUAAAGUGAGUUCCAGGCCAACUAAGACUAUACAGAAAAAUGAUGUCU
rnacentral:lncRNA from 1 species